GAUGAACGCUGGCGGCGUGCCUAAUACAUGCAAGUCGAGCGAGCAGACGAGGAGCUUGCUCCUCUGACGUUAGCGGCGGACGGGUGAGUAACACGUGGAUAACCUACCUAUAAGACUGGGAUAACUUCGGGAAGCCGGAGCUAAUACCGGAUAAUAUAUUGAACCGCAUGGUUCAAUAGUGAAAGACGGUUUUGCUGUCACUUAUAGAUGGAUCCGCGCCGCAUUAGCUAGUUGGUAAGGUAACGGCUUACCAAGGCAACGAUGCGUAGCCGACCUGAGAGGGUGAUCGGCCACACUGGAACUGAGACACGGUCCAGACUCCUACGGGAGGCAGCAGUAGGGAAUCUUCCGCAAUGGGCGAAAGCCUGACGGAGCAACGCCGCGUGAGUGAUGAAGGUCUUCGGAUCGUAAAACUCUGUUAUUAGGGAAGAACAAAUGUGUAAGUAACUAUGCACGUCUUGACGGUACCUAAUCAGAAAGCCACGGCUAACUACGUG
rnacentral:rRNA from 1 species